GCCUGUGCCAAUUGAUAGAAAAGUUCUAUGGUGGAAAAACUUUUUACUAUGUUGCUUUGAUGCACAAGAAGACUAUCGAGUUUGCUAUUUAUAAAAUGCAGCAAUUAUAUAGAAAAUAUUUGCCUUUGAUGAUUUCAAUCCUUCUGGAACUAAAAUCCAUGCAUUUAUUAGACCUUUUAGCAGUAAUAUUAAAAAUAAAAACACGUCAAAACCGUCUGGUAAGUGUGUUCACAAAAAUGUUUAAAACCGUGUACAAUUGUUUCCAAUAAAAACAUAUGUCGUUUUAGGGUAUUAUGUACAUGCAACAAGACGUUUAUUCCAAAAUACUAAGCAGCAUUAUGAACGGCGAUAACAAGACUACAAAAAUGUAUCUUAGGUUGUCCUCUGCUUCGUUUCGAAAAAUUGUAACUCACAUUCCCAAAAAGCGCCACGGAUGGUCAGUGGAGUACGAAGUCAUUUGCUUAAUAAAGUCUUCAAAUUAUUUAUAUUGUUCUUACUCACUUCCAGCCUUCGUUGCUGUUGGCGUUCUUUGAACUGAACCAAACAUCCUUGUCAAUGCGCUUUUCCAGAAGGAUUCUGCGUUCUGAACUGCUCCCUGUAAAAUAGUAUUUUUAAUUAAAAAAAUACAUAACGCCUUUUCAUAUGUAAAUCUGAAAUUAAAUCUUACAAGUUAUAUAGCUUUUCUUUAUUUUUUUUGCCGGCGGGACCAUGUUCUUUUAUUUCCACUAGCUUUUGUUUUCUUUAAUUUAUGUGUAUACGUGCGUUGUUCGUUCUUCUUCUUGAUAAUGCUUGCUGUCAAAUUUUUCACUAGCCCUGCCGUAUCAAACAUUUUUAUUCACCUCAUAGCUGUUAAAAAUUUACUAUCCAGAGAACUUUUCUAUCAAUUGGCACAGGCCCUGAGUUCAAUUUUUCUCUUGGGCGCCGCUGCUAUUACAUACACGCGAUGAUGAGGUCAUUUGAUCUACGGCUAUGACACGGGGUAACUCGGCAUACCUAUAGUGUGUGGCCAAAGGAGAUUGCAGAUACGCAUCGAGUAGUGUUGCGAGUUCUAAAUUGAUUUCUUCGCCCGGUAACACAACUCGUAUGCUAAAAGGGUUGCGCAGAAUGACUCACUGGAAUGUAGAUCAGCAAGACCUCCGUAUUAGGCAACAUCCCUGGAGCGCGAUUUGCAAGCGACUUCAAACACGUCUCGGAACUAUUAAAAGGAUGAGUUACUCUAAUGCCCUGGGUAGGAUAAAUUUGCAGGUAU